UUUUCUGGCAGAAAUAAAUGUUCCCUUUUCAAAUAUAAGCUUAAAUAAAAUUUUAAAUAUUUUAUAGUUUUUAAUUUCAGUGCCCCCACACAAUUAUUCUAGUGAUCUUCAGUCGAGUCUGCAGUGAAAGUUGCUCGCAACUGCAGCAGCAACAGCAACAGCAACAACCGCCGACAACAUCUCUGUCUGAAUUCGAAGUAUUGAAAAUAUUAAUAGAACAAACUUGUUUUGACGGAAAUGCACUUUACUUUAUUUAUCAUAGUCCGUCAGUUUGGGAUUGGGAUUGGGUUUGGGAUACGGAUCGGGAAUGAAUGAAGCAACAUGUGGAGCGGCGGCAGCAGCAGCAUCUUCCUCUCUAUUUAUGCAGAUAGAUGGGCGGAAAAGAUAAAGUAUCUCGGAUGGCACACAACACACACUUGCAGUUGCAGUUGCAAUUUGCACUGCGAUCGGUAGGGAAUCUGUGGCCAUGUUGCAAUGUUGGCAUGUCAUGGUAUUGGGUCUAAAAUUCGGGGUGGGGGAUUGACAGGUGCGCCGUCUGGCAGUUCAAAGAGUGCAAAGAUCCAAAAUGGUUUUCGGAAACGCAUUGCUUUUAAGCUUGAAAUUGCAUACCCGCAGAACGCUGAGACUUAAGCACCGCCAGCACUUGACAUCAUCCAACUUGUGAGCCGAGAUUUUCGGUUAAGCUCCCCUUCCGCCAACGGCGACCAACGAAAAACCCAUCUGAAGCUUGUCAAGGUUUAUUACAUUGUAACCACAGAAAUCGCUUUGGCUUCAGCAUCAGCAUCUCAGCUUCAGCUUCAAGCGGCUGUCAUGGAAUAUUAGAAAUGCCAACCCAGGCAGCAACAUCAACAGCAACAGCAACAGCAGCAACACCACAACAAGCGGCAAGCAGCAAGCAGCAACUAUAGAAGGGGUUGAGUGCGGCCCAUAGACAAAGUUCAACUAAGGUUGAAACCAUUUGUCGGAUUAAAUACGCGCUGCGGUAAUUAUGUGCUUCAAGCAGCAGCAACAACUACACUACAAGCAACAUAGACAACAUGGCAAACACGCUGAGAAUGCGACUUCGAAAGCCCCGAAAGCCGAAACAAGUUUCCAACUUCAGACUCAGCUGGUGCUUUAUACUCGAAGCUAUAUAGCACUAUAGCAUUAUAGCUCCAUGGCUCCAUGGCUCUAUAGCUCCAUGCCUCUAUUGCUCUAUGCCACUAUGGCUCUAUGCCACCAUAGCUCAAUGGCUCCACAGAUCUGUGGCGCAGUCGAGAACAACAUCGAGGAACGAUAAGGCUGGCAAAGUGUCAAAUGAAUUUGUCAGAUCGGAGGGGGCGACUCGGUCUCGAACCCGAACUCACCGGACACAUGUACAGCACUUGGGCCAUAAAAACAAAAUUUAAUUGUUUGCCCAGGAGGAAGUGGCGGAGAUGGAGGCGUGGCAAGGGGCGUAGUUCCAGCGGAAGGCCAAGGAAAUCACGUGCGAUCCGCGUCCAUAUCACAGGUGCUUCCGUUCCCUUUUUUUUGGGGGGCAGCGGCGGAGAGGCAGAGUAAACCAGAAAACAGCUCGCAGCGGAUGUGUGUAUUUGUUGUGAUUUUUGCACCUGUUGCACCUCAGCAACAGCAGUCAAGGAGCAAACAGCGCAGUGCACUGAAAGAAAUGGGAUCUGGCCAAGGAGUUAUUUAAGAUAUUUGAAUGCAGGGACAACACGAAUAACGACCGACGGGCGAUGCAUACAAAUACAAAACCACAAGCAACUUCCGCCGCCGCAGGAUCAGAGAAUCCGAGAAUCGGAGAAGUGGAGAGCUCGAACCUGUUCCCAUUCCUUGGGAUGCAAGAUGCCAUUCGGUGCUCUGCGAUUUGAGAUUGGCGAUUCCGAUUCCGAUUCCAAAUCCGAUUCCCCGAAUGCUGCCGUGAGUUUGCGUUUUUUCCGCGCUUUUCGAGGCUGUGUGUGCAGUUUGUCGGUUUCAGCGAAUCCAUAAUGAUUUCAUUGAUCUGUCAUUCAAGAGCUUCCAGCAUGUCUGCAGUGCGAGUGCGAAUCUUGCACCGUCUAUGGAACUAUGCUCAUCUGCCAUCGCGUGUGUCUGGGUCUGUAUAGAAUGUAUGUACUGGCAUACUGAUACUGAUACGGAUACUGAUAGCUUAUCACCACCGCCGCUUCCUUGCUCAUUAGAGCAGCUCCAAUGGCAAUCGUAUCAGUGUUUCUCCUCCGGCAAUCCGAGAGAUUCACCUUCAGCCGCCAGUGACAAUGCGACUGGAACUCAAUCACUACUCAGCCAGAUGAGCAGAUGGCUGGAGAAAUGGAAAUAUAAACUAUUCAGAUGUUUGAAAGACUUCGCCUUUAAUUGAAAGAUAAUGUAACAUAUUUAUAAAUAUAAUUAAAUCUUUAAGAUAUUUGAAAUAUUCACAAACAUUAUAAUAAUGGCAAUUAGCGGGGCAUCACUGUAUUCACUUGUCCACUAGAGAUAUCGCAGAAGCGAUCGAAAGUUGAUUCAUUGCGUGCAAUGAAUGAGAGAAUCUUCAAAGCAAUUCGCCCG